rnacentral:rRNA from 1 species
CNGGNAAUUAGCCGUGGCUUAUUCCUCAAGUACCGUCAUUUCUUCUUCCUUGAGAAAAGAGGUUUACAGCCCAGAGGCCUUCAUCCCUCACGCGGCGUUGCUCCGUCAGGCUUGCGCCCAUUGCGGAAAAUUCCCA